AUUGAACGCUGGCGGCAGGCUUAACACAUGCAAGUCGAGCGGAGAUGAGGUGCUUGCACCUUAUCUUAGCGGCGGACGGGUGAGUAAUGCUUAGGAAUCUGCCUAUUAGUGGGGGACAACAUUCCGAAAGGAAUGCUAAUACCGCAUACGUCCUACGGGAGAAAGCAGGGGAUCUUCGGACCUUGCGCUAAUAGAUGAGCCUAAGUCGGAUUAGCUAGUUGGUGGGGUAAAGGCCUACCAAGGCGACGAUCUGUAGCGGGUCUGAGAGGAUGAUCCGCCACACUGGGACUGAGACACGGCCCAGACUCCUACGGGAGGCAGCAGUGGGGAAUAUUGGACAAUGGGGGGAACCCUGAUCCAGCCAUGCCGCGUGUGUGAAGAAGGCCUUAUGGUUGUAAAGCACUUUGAGCGAGGAGGAGGCUACUAGUAUUAAUACUACUGGAUAGUGGACGUUACUCGCAGAAUAAGCACCGGCUAACUCUGUGCCAGCCGCCGCGGUAACAC
rnacentral:rRNA from 1 species